rnacentral:lncRNA from 1 species
CAGCUUAAAAGGUGUUCAUCAGCAGUUAUAUUUUAAAUUUAUUUUCAGAAAAGGGCUAAGAUAUUGGAAAAACUAAAAUUACUAUUGUAAUAUAAGGUAAUAUAAAGAGCGAAGCAUGUUUUAUUGUAUGUUGGAAUAGUUAGUCUUUUUCUUUAGUUUUUUUCCUGGGAACCUCCAUAUGCCGUGGGAGCGGCUCAAGAAAUGGCAAAAAGACAAAAAAAAACAAAAACCAAAAAAACCCUUUAAAUAUAACUGCCUUUUAGACAUCUUUUUGAUGCCGUGAUGUUGGGUCCUGGAGAGACCAGAAGGAAGAAUUCACAAUUUUGCCCAUUAAUGACAAAAGUUAAUGUGCGAGGUCAUUCCACUCCCUGACCCACCCUUUCGCAUUUCCUUAUUAAGCACACAAACCCGAGACAGGAGUAGACCGGUGAGUUUAUUGCCUUGCCAUAAGCGUUGUGCUACUGUUGUGGAAAGCACUGAGGAAGAGGAAUGAAGAGCAAUUAAUUCUGCCUAGGGGCUAAGGUGCCCUUUAGGUUGGACCUUGAAAUCUGUCUGUGGAGGUGAUCUGAGUGUUUUAGGCGGAGAGGGCAGCUUAAGCCAAGGCAUUUGGGAGUGACAGUGCGUGGUUUACAAUUAAGAUAGCUGUGUAGAUGCAUUGUGCAAACAGCUACAGAAUUCUAAGGCCCUUAAAGUGUUAGAUAGAGUCAAACAUGGCUAAUUAUUAGAGAAAGGCAAAUCAAAACUACAGGAGGUACCACCACACAUCAUUGAAAUGUCUACAAAUAAUAAAUGCUGGAAGAGAUGUGGAGAAAAGGGAACCCUCCUGCAUUGUUGGUGGGAAUGUAAAUUGGUGAAGCCACUGUGGUAAAAAUAGAGUUACCAUAUGGUUCUGCAAUCCCACUCUUGGGUAUAUAUCUGGAAAAGACUGUAUUUUGAAAAAAUACAUGCAUGUUCCUAGAAGCACAGUUUACAGUAGCCAAGACAUGGAAACAAUCUAAAUAUCCAUCCACAGAGGAAUGGAUAAAGAAGAUGUAGUACAUAUAUAUGAUGGAAUACUACUCAGCCAUAAAAAAGAAUGAAAUAAUGCCCUUUGCAGCAACAUGGGUGGAACUAGAGACUCCCAUUCUAAGUGAAAUAGGUCAGACAGAGACAAAUAUAUGAUAUCACUUAGAUGUGGAAUCUAAAAAAAUGAUACAGAUGAACUUAUUUAUAAAACAAACAGACUCACAGACAGGAAACAUCUGUGGUUACCAAAAGCGAAAGAUUCAGGAGGAAUAAAUUAGGAAUUUGAAGGUAACAAAAACACACUAUAUAUAAAAUAAACAAUAAGCAUCUACUGUUUAGCACAGGGAACUGUACUCAAUAUUUUGUAAUAACCUAUAUGGGAAAAGAAUCUGAAAAAUGUAUAUAUACACAUAUAUCAGCCACUUUGUUAUACAUCUGAAACUAACACAUUAUAAAUCAACUGUACUUCAAUAAAUAAACUUUAAAAAAGUUAGAUGUGGGGUUCCAGUAGGGUUCAUGCCAAAAUUAUGUUGCUCUACCCUUACCUUUUCCUGGGCUCCAGAAACCAUAUUUGAUCAUCUAGGAAUAACUAAUAUGGAUUAGUGACUGCAGGUGGGAGCCAGUGGUCAGACCAGAAUUUGUGGGUUAUUCCACAUUGUAUUCAUAAUACACCUAGUGACACUGGUCUUAAAUUUAUGUUGUUAAAACUACCAAAGUAUUAUGAUUUUUCCCUAACCGACUGUUCUAAUGGACAGGAAAUUUGAAAAUUGCUCACAGGUUCUUCUACACCUUCAUUUAGUACAGCUCUCACGCUUCCUUUUCUCGUGGGAAGUGAGGCAGUGGAGAGGGAGGGGAGGAGAAGAAGUAAACGCAUCGGCUCUCCCUCAUUCACAGAAUGAGAUCCAACAUUCUCGACCCUUCACAAUCUUAAUCCAGCUUUUCUAAUGAUUACCUGUUACAAUAGGUAAAGAAAAGUCAGACAGUAAUACACUCUUAAUAUUUAAUAUUGUGUAGAUAGGUCCCUUUCAUUCAAAAAAAAAGAAAAAA